rnacentral:rRNA from 1 species
CUACGGGUUGCAGCAGUGAGGAAUAUUGCACAAUGGGGGGAACCCUGAUGCAGCAACGCCGCGUGGAGGAUGACGCAUUUCGGUGUGUAAACUCCUUUUAUAUGUCAAGAAAAUGACGGUAGCAUAUGAAUAAGCACCGGCUAACUCCGUGCCAGCAGCCGCGGUAAUACGGAGGGUGCAAGCGUUACUCGGAAUCACUGGGCGUAAAGGACGCGUAGGCGGGCUUGUAAGUCAGGUGUGAAAUCCUACAGCUUAACUGUAGAACUGCACUUGAAACUACGAGCCUAGAGUAUGGGAGGGGGAGAUGGAAUUAGUGGUGUAGGGGUAAAAUCCGUAGAGAUCACUAGGAAUACCUAUUGCGAAGGCGAUCUGCUGGAACAUUACUGACGCUGAGGCGUGAAAGCGUGGGGAGCAAACAGGAUUAGAUACCCCCGUAGUC